rnacentral:rRNA from 1 species
CAACAACAAGAUGCUUCUGUGGCCCAAGUGUGGGAUGGUUUAAACCUGCAAUUGACUUUUAGGAGAUGUGUAGAUGAACAUACUUUAAAUCUGUGGAAUGAAAUGCUAGACUUGGUGAGGGGUUUCUCUCCUUCAAAUGAUCUGGAUAAGCCUGUCUGGGCCCUAGAAAGUAAGAGGGUUUAUUCUGUGAAAUCUAUGUAUAAGAUGAUAAAUUUUGGAGGUAUGACUUCUGUUUGGAAGGAUUAUAUCUGGAGAAUCAAAGUCCCCCCAAAUAUUCAAGUGUUUCUUUGGUUGAUGGUACACAACAAAAGUCUGACUAGAGAUAAUCUAUCAAAACGGCAAAAUGUUAAUGAUUUGACUUGUGUUUUUUGCAAUGAGCUGGAAAGUAUACAACAUCUUUUCUUUGAUUGUGUGGUGGCCCGUCAAGUUUGGAGAGUGAUUUCUGAUUGUGUUGAUUUACAUACUCCUGACUCUUUUAGUUCAUUUACUCCCUUCUGGAAGAAGAAGAAAUGUUAUGAUGCUGUUAAUUUAAUCUCUGCCGCUACCUUGUGGAGCUUAUGGUUGCUUCGAAAUGAAUUUGUUUUCCAAGGAAGAAAAUAG